UACGUAGGUGGCGAGCGUUGUCCGGAUUUACUGGGCGUAAAGGGCGUGCAGGCGGUUUGUUAAGUGCAGGGUGAAAGCUCCCGGCUCAACUGGGAGAGGUCCUUGCAUACUGGCGAACUCGAGGGAGGCAGAGGAAAGUGGAAUUCCCGGUGUAGUGGUGAUAUGCGUAGAUAUCGGGAGGAACACCAGUGGCGAAGGCGGCUCGCUGGGCCGGUCCUGACACUGAGACGCGAAGGCGUGGGGAGCGAACGGG
rnacentral:rRNA from 1 species